rnacentral:rRNA from 1 species
CCCUUGUACACACCGCCCGUCACACCACGAAAGUGGGCAACACCCGAAGCCGGUGAUCCAACCCUCUGGGAGGAAGCCGUCGAAGGUGGGGCUCAUGAUUGGGGUGAAGUCGUAACAAGGUACCC